CAUUGUUUUAGUCCAGUGGCUAGGAUAAUUGGUUUUUACCCAAGGAACAUGAGUUUGAUUCUGAACAAUGA